rnacentral:rRNA from 1 species
AAUCAACGCUGGCGGCGUGCCUCAGACAUGCAAGUCGAACGCGAAAGUCCCCUUCGGGGGACAAGUAGAGUGGCGCACGGGUGAGUAACACGUAGGUAAUCUACCUUCGAAUGGGGAAUAACAACCGGAAACGGUUGCUAAUACCGCAUAAUGCAGCGGCACCUAAUGGUGACAGUUGUUAAAGCGGGGGAUCGAAAGACCUCGCGUCUGAAGAGGAGCCUGCGGCGGAUUAGCUAGNGGUAAGGUAAUGGCUUACCAAGGCGACGAUCCGUAGCCGGCCUGAGAGGGCGGUCGGCCACACUGACACUGACAUACGGGUCAGACUCCUACGGGAGGCAGCAGUCGGGAAUUUGGGCAAUGGGCGAAAGCCUGACCCCAGCAACGCCGCGUGAAGGAUGACGGCCU